rnacentral:rRNA from 1 species
GGAUCAUUACUGAGUUUACGCUCUAUAACCCUUUGUGAACAUACCUAUAACUGUUGCUUCGGCGGGUAGGGUCUCCGCGACCCUCCCGGCCUCCCGCCUCCGGGCGGGUCGGCGCCCGCCGGAGGAUAACCAAACUCUGAUUUAACGACGUUUCUUCUGAGUGGUACAAGCAAAUAAUCAAAACUUUUAACAACGGAUCUCUUGGUUCUGGCAUCGAUGAAGAACGCAGCGAAAUGCGAUAAGUAAUGUGAAUUGCAGAAUUCAGUGAAUCAUCGAAUCUUUGAACGCACAUUGCGCCCGCCAGCAUUCUGGCGGGCAUGCCUGUUCGAGCGUCAUUUCAACCCUCAAGCUCUGCUUGGUGUUGGGGCCCUACAGCUGAUGUAGGCCCUCAAAGGUAGUGGCGGACCCUCCCGGAGCCUCCUUUGCGUAGUAACUUUACGUCUCGCACUGGGAUCCGGAGGGACUCUUGCCGUAAAACCCCCCAAUUUUCCAAAGGUUGACCUCGGAUCAGGUAG